rnacentral:rRNA from 1 species
UGGGAACGUACCUUUCAGUUCGGAACAACCAAGGGAAACUUUGGCUAAUGCCGAAUACGCCCGUAAGGGGAAAGAUUUAUCGCCGAAAGAUCGGCCCGCGUCUGAUUAGCUAGUUGGUGGGGUAAUGGCCCACCAAGGCGACGAUCAGUAGCUGGUCUGAGAGGAUGAUCAGCCACAUUGGGACUGAGACACGGCCCAAACUCCUACGGGAGGCAG